rnacentral:rRNA from 1 species
GGGGGGAGGGCCCUACACAUGCAAGUCGAGCGGUAGCACAGAGAGCUUGCUCUCGGGUGACGAGCGGCGGACGGGUGAGUAAUGUCUGGGAAACUGCCUGAUGGAGGGGGAUAACUACUGGAAACGGUAGCUAAUACCGCAUAACGUCGCAAGACCAAAGUGGGGGACCUUCGGGCCUCAUGCCAUCAGAUGUGCCCAGAUGGGAUUAGCUAGUAGGUGGGGUAACGGCUCACCUAGGCGACGAUCCCUAGCUGGUCUGAGAGGAUGACCAGCCACACUGGAACUGAGACACGGUCCAGACUCCUACGGGAGGCAGCAGUGGGGAAUAUUGCACAAUGGGCGCAAGCCUGAUGCAGCCAUGCCGCGUGUGUGAAGAAGGCCUUCGGGUUGUAAAGCACUUUCAGCGGGGAGGAAGGCGAUAAGGUUAAUAACCUUGUUGAUUGACGUUACCCGCAGAAAAAGCACCGGCUAACUCCGU